AGUGAGGUGCCUGAUUAAAAGGGCUAUUUUGAUAGAAUAGAUAAUGUAUUUCGUACCCUUACUA
rnacentral:tRNA from 1 species